GAUGAACGCUGGCGGCGUGCCUAAUACAUGCAAGUCGAGCGAACAGACGAGGAGCUUGCUCCUCUGACGUUAGUGGCGGACGGGUGAGUAACACGUGGAUAACCUACCUAUAAGACUGGGAUAACUUCGGGAAACCGGAGCUAAUACCGGAUAAUAUAUUGAACCGCAUGGUUCAAUAGUAAAAGACGGUUUUGCUGUCACUUAUAGAUGGAUCCGCGCCGCAUUAGCUAGUUGGUAAGGUAACGGCUUACCAAGGCGACGAUGCGUAGCCGACCUGAGAGGGUGCUCGGCCACACUGGAACUGAGACACGGUCCAGACUCCUGCGGGAGGCAGCAGUAGGGAAUCUUCCGCAAUGGGCGAAAGCCUGACGGAGCAACGCCGCGUGAGUGAUGAAGGUCUUCGGAUCGUAAAACUCUGUUAUUAGGGAAGAACAAAUGUGUAAGGAACUAUGCACGUCUUGACGGUACCUAAUCAGAAAGCCACGGCUAACUAC
rnacentral:rRNA from 1 species